AGCUCCAAUAGCGUAUAUUAAAGUUGUUGCGGUUAAAAAGCUCGUAGUUGGAUUUCUGCUGAGGACGACCGGUCCGCCCACUGGGUGUGCAUCUGGCUUGGCCUUGGCAUCUUCUUGGAGAACAUGUCUGCACUUGAUUGUGUGGCAUGGUAUCCAGGACCUUUACUUUGAGAAAAUUAGAGUGUUCAAAGCAGGCACACGCCUUGAAUACAUUAGCAUGGAAUAAUGAGAUAGGGCCACGGCGGUCUAUUUUGUUGGUUUGCACGUUGUGGUAAUGAUUAACAGGAACGGUUGGGGGUAUUCGUAUUCAAUUGUCAGAGGUGAAAUUCUUGGAUUUGUGGAAGACGAACUACUGCGAAAGCAUUUACCAAGGAUGUUUUCAUUAAUCAAGAACGAAAGU
rnacentral:rRNA from 1 species